rnacentral:lncRNA from 1 species
AGUGCGAGGUGACUGUGGAAUUUUGUUGGUAUCCUCUGUCUCUGACAUGGUUUAAAAAACACACAGUGGAAACAAGAAAAAUAGGUGAAGAAAUAAAAACCCUACAGCUAUUAGGAUGUGGCUACUGUAAGACGCUCUCUAUCAACCUGUCUAACAAGUUCUUACCAAUUCUUACCUUGCUCAACAGGAGGGAUUGGCUACCAACAAAUCCACAGCAAUAGACGAAGUGUAUCGGUGCCGCAGCAACAAAACCUAUCAAGCUGUAGAAUAUGUGGAGCUAUAGGUGGGCUGAAACAAGGAUCGAACUAGCACCACGUUAGUUAUAAAAAGCAAGUUGAAUAAACGCUCAACGGUGGUACUGUGCUGGUCCUAGCCUAGACCGUGCUAGAGACGCGAACCUGGACACAAAGGGAAAACACAGCACACCACUAGAAACAAAAUGAGCAGCCCUACUGGAAACAAAAGGAACAACAAUCCCCUUUUUUUGAUUUUUUUUCUUUUUUCUUUCUUUUUUUUGGGGAACCUCAAAACCUGAUUAUAUAAACAAAAUAGUACAAAAUAUCACUUCACCACCCUCACCCUCUCACUAGAGUAAGGCUGAACCUCAAAAUUCAAUAUAUCUAGCACAAGUAUGAAGUGCUAUCUUUCCUUUUGGAUCACGUUAAUGGAAAAGCAGAAUAGACCAACAAGUGGCUGCACCUAUUAUCAAGAUCUACUCAAAUUCCAACCCACAAUAGAUUGGACGCAGUUGUGACUAGAUGGUGACAAGAACUCAAAACUCUAAAGGACUAAACUAAAACCAGCACUGGACACGACCGAAGCAAACACUCAUUCAACCAGCCCUAACUAAGUAGUACAAGCCACG